rnacentral:rRNA from 1 species
GACGAACGCUGGCGGCGUGCCUAAUACAUGCAAGUUGAGCGCUGAUGGUUGGUACUUGUACCAACUGGAUGAGCAGCGAACGGGUGAGUAACGCGUGGGGAAUCUGCCUUUGAGCGGGGGACAACAUUUGGAAACGAAUGCUAAUACCGCAUAAAAACUUUAAACACAAGUUUUAAGUUUGAAAGAUGCAAUUGCAUCACUCAAAGAUGAUCCCGCGUUGUAUUAGCUAGUUGGUGAGGUAAAGGCUCACCAAGGCGAUGAUACAUAGCCGACCUGAGAGGGUGAUCGGCCACAUUGGGACUGGGACACGGCCCAAGCUCCUACGGGAGGCAGCAGUAGGGAAUCUUCGGCAAUGGACGAAAGUCUGAACGAGCAACGCCGCGUGAGUGAAGAAGGUUUUCGGAUCGUAAAACUCUGUUGGUAGAGAAGAACGUUGGUGAGAGUGGAAAGCUCAUCAAGUGACGGUAACUACACAGAAAGGGACGGCUAACUACGUG